UACAGAGGUCCCGAGCGUUGUUCGGAUUCACUGGGCGUAAAGGGUGCGCAGGUGGCCAGGUGUGUUAGGCGUGAAAGCCCGGGGCUUAACCCCGGAAUUGCACCUAAAACUACUUGGCUAGAGCAUUGGAGAGGGGAGCAGAAUUCAUGGUGUAGCAGUGAAAUGCGUAGAUAUCAUGAGGAAUACCAGAGGCGAAGGCGGCUCCCUGGACAAUUGCUGACACUCAGGCACGAAAGCGUGGGGAGCAAAAGGG
rnacentral:rRNA from 1 species